GGGGACCCUGAGGGGGCGCUGAGGGGAGCGCGGCCGUGAGGCGCCCGGAGACCCUCGACCGAGUGCGGGGAGCGUGAGAGGAGCCUCCCGGCCCCGGGAAGGAGAUCUCCGUGCAGAUGGGUCCCCUGAGCGUGUGGUGUGGGGAGCUUAUCGCGCAGCAGGCCGAGAGAUAGGGGCAGAAAUCGGGUAAUUGCCAGGGGAGCGAGGCGAUAAGGGGCCUGCCCCGCCCACCGCGACGGUAUCGGCUUACAGCAAGUCGAGAUCGAUGCAGGUGCACGGAGAGAGCAGGCAAGCUGCGUUACCGGAGGGAAAUCUGUCAAAACCUGAGGUUCCUGAGCUGCUGCCUGCCCAGAUGCCGAGAAGUCAGUGCUGGUGCAGAAGCAAAGUUUUAGUCUGUUCUCUACCUAAAAGAGGAAAGAAGAUAGAAACACAAGCCAGAAACAUGCACUAACCUUGUGACCAUGCCCGACCGACACAUAGCUUUUCUGCUGCCACUGUCCCCAAAAGAUUGUUUCCUUUGCGACGACAGCGCCAUUAGCAGCUUAUGACCCCUCUCAGGCAUGACAGGCACAUCUCUGCACUUCUCUGCUCUCUGCAAGUGAAACGUUGGAAGUGCCUGCGAGAGCUGCCGUACACACCAAAGGAAAAGAAACCGUGCCCCAGCUGCUUGUGCAUCUGCGCUGCAGUGUGGCCAGAAGGGACGCCGAGGCAAUGACUUGUUUCCUUUGUUACUUCCUGUUUCCCCCCACUGUCAGUGGGCAGCACAGGCUCUGUCAGAUUUCCCAAUUUCCCAGAGAGGCUGCAAAUCAAGCCGUACACGCAUCGAGGCUCCGUGAGACAGCAAGCCAAGUAGCGGAGGGGAUUUUCCAGUGCUCGCUCGCUUCCUGGCCACCCUUCGAUCAACUGCUUUCCCACGGGAGGAAAAGAAGGUGGGCUUUUUGUCUCGCAGCGUGCUCUCACACCAGCAGAGUUCAAAAAUGCUGCCCGUGCUUCUGAAGAGCUCGUGCUUCAGGUGGAAAACACUGAUCGAAUGCCAUCCCCUUUGAAGGAAGGCCUUCAGCCCUGGAAGAAGAUUCCUAGCUCCCAGCUCAACAGCAGGCUUCCUGCUGCUAGGUCAUUACUCAGCAGCACAACGUUAGACCAGAGACACAAAACCACACUCCAGGCAGUGCCUACACCUGAAGCUGAGCAGGAACCACAAGCCUCGACCGAGAAGGCAGCGUGAACCAAACCAGUCUUGAAGAAGACGGCAAGGCUAAAGAAAACACCGUUAAAGAUGCACUUGCAGUCUGCAUUUCAUCUUGAAGAGCUCCUGCCUCAUCCUCGAGCACACGCUGUGCGUUAUCACUGCAAACCCGCUAGGAAACCGCCCCUGAUGCUCACAGCACGCCACCAACACCGCGGCUCGGCUGAAACCGGGCAUCGCCUUCACUUGGCGAGCCUGAACCUCCCCUGGUGCAACUUGAGGCCGUUCCCUCUGGUCCUAUCGCUACUUGAGAGCUGGCAUGUGGUCAGAAAGGUAUUUGUAAGCAGUCUAAAAGGUGACUUAAAGGUUGAUAAGAAAACGUUCAUUUCAUUCUCGUGUGUUAAAUGUUCAUUUAAGACGUGAUUUUAUUUCAUUCACACCUCAGGGCUGUUGCUUUUCCAUUUUCCUUUUAUUACUUCCCAGAUUUCUUUUUCUAGCUGAAAACAAAACAAAAGCAAAAGAAAUGUUUUUCUUUUAAAACAAGUAGAAAAUUGAAAAAUUAAAGUGAUACUUAAAAAUAUAGAGAAGAAAAAUACAAAAAAAAAAAUGUUUAGCAAUUUAGAAUGCAUUUUCCAUCUUGUAGAAAUGAUACACCAAGUAGUAGUGCUAGUGUGAGAUCAGUAUUGUGAGAGGUACAAAGCACACACCUUUAACUCCAUUUACUUCUGUAACGAGAACAGAUGUGAAAAGGCACUUCAUAAAGCAAUAUUUCUAUCUAAAACAUUGAUCUUGGCAUAAUUCUUCAGAUUUAUUUGAAUAAAGAGCGGCAGGUCCUUUGCUGAUUACCCAGCUAAUAUUUUAAGUUAGUUUUAAAGCCCUUAACCUUUACAAUAGCAGUAAAUGGUUUCUGUGGUCAGAGAACACAGUGGUGCGGUAUUUCCCAUGAGUGCCAUUUAUUAGCAUUUCUCUGUCAUUCAUAAAUUUUUGAAGUAUGAGGCAGCAAAAAGAAUCAAUCAUUUUCUGAACACAAAAGGGAUGGCGCUUGGUCUGUGAAACAAAGCCCUGUGCUGUAGGUACAGCAGAGACUAGCAAAAGCUGGUUAGGAAAUGCGGGUUAGCACUGAGCCUUGACUGACUUAGAGCAUAAGUACCGUGCUGUUUACACCUACCACCAGAUCUGCAGGAGUCUUUAUGUAAAGAAAAACAUCACUUCAGAGUACAAGGGAGUAAUUGCACUGGCAGAGCCUAAGGAAAAUGAAGUGCCUUAAGCUUUCCCACGACAUGUGUCUUGGCUGCAGCCAGCACCAGCCUUUUCCCCGGCCUUAGCUUUCCUUUGCAGAAGGACUGACAGCUGUGCACAACCGUGGGCAGGCUGUAUAACGUGAAUAAGUCCCAUGAGAAGACCGUAAGAGGGAAAGCUGCUUGUGUGCAACACUGCCACUAAAUUCAGCGUGAAUUCUGUGUCAGAACAUCCUGACUUGGUUGGUGGAAAUUACAGCAAUUAUUUUCCUGUCUGACUGAAUCCAGAACUUUUAGUCUCCAGAGAAGACGGAUUAGUGCACUGAAAGCACUGAGCUAAAGCAGGUGCGGGGAACCUUCACUUUGUUGGCUGAGUAUGCCCAGUGACUUCAUUUUAUAUGGUACAGCCCAUGAUUAAAAUCAGAGCGUGUUAUUACUGGACAGCAGAGCAUGUCAACGUGUGGUCUGCCAAAGGUGUUGGAAAGGCAUAUUUCAUCCUUAGCAAGGAAAGUGUUCCGUACCCUGAAGGCUGACAAGCCUUUACACACACUGUGUUACAAGGUAAGAGGCCUUUCUACACCUUUCUUCUCAGCUAAGUUUUCCUCGUGUUCAAGCGAAGCUCUCUGUGUGACCUAAACUGCACGCAGUAUUCCAGCUGAGAGGACCACAACACUUGCUUAUUCCUCCUGGAAAUAGCUUUUAGGAUCACAGUUGUGUAGUGUCAGGAAGUGUCAUCAUUAUUUUAUGAGCUUGCUCUUUCCGAGUUGUCUCAAAGGGAUGAACUCCUUACUUACAUCUGAAGCCUUUACCAGCUUACAGCUGUACAAUACUGUUGAUUUAUGGCAUUCCGAUCAUUGAAGCCACCCAGUUAACAUUGAAAUAUAAUCCUCUUCUGUAGUGAGGCAACACCCCAACUUCAUUUUAUCAGUAAAUACAACAUUACUUUCACCUAAAAAAAUCAUGCUCUUACCAAAGAGGAUGGUCAGACUAGUCCGACAUGGCCUACAUCAGGGAAGAAAAAGUUCCGUUUUAUUCCAUUUGCCUCUACAUCCUUAAUUCCGUUUUUCUUCAAAUGUGCAUAUAAAAUCAAAUUGAAGGGACUAUAACUGUGAUACUGAUUUCACUUCUUAAAUACAGCAUUUGCAUAUCCCUCACUAUGAAAAACAGCAUAUGAUCUUCAGCUGGACUGGAUUCCCAACCUAACAGACUUAUCGAAACCAUUUGUUUGUGAUUUCAUCAGCUCGGAAUUCUGAGGAUGCUGUCCCUCGCUGCAUCGCGGCCCUGCUUCCUCUUUUUCUCCUCUUUUGUGUGUGCCUGCAAACCAUUGGGCUAUUUGUGAUGAUUGUCUUUGCCUGUAUAAUUUGGCCUGCCUUUUGGCAAUUCUCACUUCCUAAGCUCGAUACAUAGCUUACUUUUGCUGAUCGGUCUUUCGUUCAUUUUUUUUUUGCAGAAUCUCUGUUUAUACCUGCUUUCUCAUUCGUGGUGGCUUUCUACACGCUUUGAGCUCCAGUUGGUGAAGUUUCUUUGAAAGUUUUCUAUAAAAGUUCCUUUCCUUGUUUUCCACAAAGUCACAUGGGGCACAAGUUGUAAGGAGAGCCCAGUGCAGGCUUGUCUGCACCAAACCGAGCAUCAUCAAAAAUGCAACCUGGGGUGGGAAGGCUGCUGGGUUUUGGUUUUGUUUAUUUAUAAUCCUGUCCAUUAUUCCAUAAAGUGUGUGGUACAAUAUCCUCAGUCUCAAAGAACAGAAGAAGCACGUAUAUCAAAUUUUAGGUACUCUUGCCUUGCCUUGUGACAAGAACCGUGCCAGAUUUAAAGCUGGUACUGUGCUACUGGUGAAUUUUCCUACUGUAAGAGUGUGGACUGGAUUACCCGUUUAAAGAUGCAACACGCCCAAUGCUUUAAACAUGCUCAGGUGCUUUUCUAUCUAUUGCUCUACCCCAGAAUCACAGCCAGUUUUGAUGUUGCUUGCUGCUGUUUCUUAGUUGCCAUCCCUUCCUGGGAAUGCAGACUGAAAUCACGAGUGUCCAGAGACAAGAUCCCAAGAGGCCCUAACGGGGGCCUCUCAAGCCAAGUGCAGUACACAGAAAUAAUAACAUUUGCCCUGAGAUGCGCGAGGAUUCUGAUUGUUCUCCCCAAAAGGCAUGCGUUAAACUGACAAUAUAUUUAGUGAAAGGAGGGUUCUUGUCUCUGUUAGUUAGAAGUAUCAGAGAAACAUGACAAAUAUUUAGAUUCCAAAGAUAAAGAGAUCUAAAAAAGAGCAAAUGUUUUCUUUAGCAGUAUUCUCUGUUGUGUUUAUAGGACUCUUACCAAGCCUUUGGUAAAAAUAAAGCCUUUGUGUUUUUUUUUUUUUCUUUCCUUCCAAUGCUGACAAAUACUGCUAUUAAUUUAAGCUACAUAAUCUAUUCCAGGGCCCAACUGUAUCCCCACAGAGACAGAGUAAUUCGUAAUGGAUGGAGGAAGUAUGCCAGAAAAAGCAGGGCUUUGUGAAGGCCUUUUGCCUGUUUCUGUCAUGAUUUCCUGCUGAAGCUUCAAGGAAAUAAACUCACUAGGACUUCUGCAACAUAUUUGGCUGACAGCUAGUAUGCAACUCCUUGUCUUCAAUCUGAGAGUCUUCCUGAUGCACGGGAUGAGAGGAGAGCGAUCUUUCUGGGGUCGUUACUGUUGCUGGCAACACAGAUGAUUACCUUUCUUUCUUUGCUGAUCUGCACGUAAGCAAAUUAUCUCAUUCCUCUCUGCAGAAAGCAGCAGCCUCUUCUGACUGUUUUUUGGUGUGUUUGUGCUGAAGCAGCUCUACUUUGGUUUUGGCAUGGGAGAUGCAAGGGCGUCCAUUUGACUAACGUGUUUUGCAGUUGCACUAAAUAUCAGAGAAGAAAAUGACAAGUGCUUGAAAAACACGGAGUUACAAAAAUUCUGAGAAAGAAAUCUGUCACGUACCUGGCCUUUGGAGGAAAUAAUGUUGCUCUGGAUAGCAGGAUUUUCAGCCUGCAUGGUUAUACUUAUUAAAGGUGGAGGAGAAGACUAUUACUGGAACCAGAAAAAUGCAUUUUCCCCUAACUCGUGUGCUCUCAUUUGCAGAAAGUAUGUUUUUUUCCCACAAAACCUCAUCUGCUAACCCAUGUUCUGAUAAGACAGGUGAAAAGGGAGUUUUUCCUUACGAUCUAAAACAUUAAUUAGUUUUACACUAAGCACAUAAGUAAAAAUCACAAUAAACACCAAACUUGCAGCGGGAAUCUAGAUUGCUGCUGUUUUUUCCCCUCUGAAACUGAAGAAACGAAAUCUAGCUGUAGCUGCAGGGGCAGAGGAUCCCAAAUAACACGGCGCUAACCCUCCGACAUCCGAGUCGUGAUUUGAGUGCACCACGCUGUGAUCUCCUCCUACUCUUUCCAGUCUCGCAGAAAACUGCACAGUAACGGAAACCAUCAGAGCGAUUCCAGUCUGCUGCUAGCAAGUAAAAUUAUUUUCGUGUUGUCAAAGCGAUAUAACAUACACCGUUGUGAAGUUUCCAGAAGGAAAUUACUACUCACAUAACCAUUGCCUUUUGUUGAUGGUUCAUACCAAGAAGACUGAAGGGCAAGACAUUAAAUCCAGCACAGGAAUACGGCCUGUCAGAGCUGCUCACCUCCAGACAUGCCUUUAAAGGCACGAACACCAGAAAAAACAGUGGCUAAGGGUUUUGAUAUUACGUAGGAGGGUUUAGAUAUGCAGUCAUCAUUAGGAAAAUAGGAAAGCAGUGUCUCUCAACUAAUAUUAAGGCUAACUUUUUAACUUCAACUAGGGUUGAAGGCUGCAGCAGCCUCAAAACCAUUCUAGCAUGAGGGAUCGUGGAGCUCUUGCCUCUGUCUGCCUGGUGGAGACAGCUGAAGUUGCUGGUGUGGGUGGCAGCAUUGCCAGGGAAACCAGGGCAGUUCCCAGCUUCCUUCUGUACCAACGAGACGCUGAGUGUUCCUCACCUUAUGCCCUUUCUCAAAUCUUUCUUUGUAUGUGAGCUGUGUCUCUCCCACAGUUAUCUCUAAAUCCUCGCUCGACUGCAUGAAGACUAUUUUCUUAACUGCUGCUUUGAGCUUCUUUCUGGCAAGGCUCCUCACUGUAGGCAUUCUUUUGAACUGAACAAAGCUGUAGCAGAUUUUUUAUCGUUUAUCUGUCCUGCAAUGGUGCAGAAUCUGUUGCAUUAUCUGUUAAAAAACUGACACUUAUCCAAAUGAAGAAAAUUAUCAUAGUAAUAAUAACAAAUAUUAUUAUUUAAAAAAAAAAAAAAAACAUUAAAAAGCACUAAUAAAGUAGGCCAGAAUUAUUGCUGAAGAGCAACUGGCAAUACUAUAAAAAACAACAGUAAAUGGUUUUCCCAAUGCAUGCAGAACUGGAAGGAUACCAGAGAAUCAGCAGAGUCAAUAUGAUUAAAGUACACUCUGAGAAGAUGAGAGCAUAGCAAAACAUUACCAAAAAAAAAAAAAGUUGAAUAAAUGUCUUAUUUCUCUAAAGGCAUUAGGGAAGU